GGGGAUGACGUCAAGUCAUCAUGGCCCUUACGAGUAGGGCUACACACGUGCUACAAUGGCAGAUACAAAGUGAAGCGAACUCGCGAGAGCAAGCGGACCACAUAAAGUCUGUCGUAGUCCGGAUUGGAGUCUGCAACUCGACUCCAUGAAGUCGGAAUCGCUAGUAAUCGUAGAUCAGAAUGCUACGGUGAAUACGUUCCCGGGCCUUGUACACACCGCCCGUCACACCAUGGGAGUGGGUUGCAAAAGAAGUAGGUAGCUUAACCUUCGGGAGGGCGCUUACCACUUUGUGAUUCAUGACUGGGGUGAAGUCGUAACAAGGUAACCGUAGGGGAACCU
rnacentral:rRNA from 1 species